UACGGAGGAUCCAAGCGUUAUCCGGAUUUAUUGGGUUUAAAGGGUGCGUAGGCGGCCUAUUAAGUCAGGGGUGAAAGACGGUAGCUUAACUAUCGCAGUGCCCUUGAUACUGAUGGGCUUGAAUAUACUAGAGGUAGGCGGAAUGUGACAAGUAGCGGUGAAAUGCAUAGAUAUGUCACAGAACACCAAUUGCGAAGGCAGCUUACUAUGGUAUUAUUGACGCUGGAGGCACGAAAGCGUGGGGAUCAAACAGG
rnacentral:rRNA from 1 species